AACAUGGCUCUUUGAGAUUUAUAUAUAAAGAGUCGGGCCUGCCCAGUGAUGUAUUUUUAACGGCCGCGGUACUCUGACCGUGCGAAGGUAGCAUAAUCAUUUGCCCUAUAAUUGAGGGCUAGUAUGAAUGGUUUGACAUGAGCAUAACUGUCUCCUUAAAAUUUUAUAAAAUUUGGUUUUUAGGUGAAGAAACCUAAAUUAAAUUGAAAGACAAGAAGACCCUAUCGAGCUUUAGAAUAAUUAAUUAAAAAAUAUAAAUAAAAUAAUUAAUUUUAAUUAAAAACUUUGGUUGGGGCGACUGAGGAACAUAUAAAGCUUCCUUAAUUAAACAAUGCUGAUAAGCAAUGAUCCAGGAAAUCUGAUUAAAAAAAUUAGUUACCGUAGGGAUAACAGCAUAAUCUUUUUUGAGAGCUCUUAUCGAAAAAAAGGUUUGUGACCUCGAUGUUGGACUAGGAUAUCCUAAAGAUGUAGAAGUCUUUAAUGGUUGCUCUGUUCGAGCAUAAAAAUCCUACGUGAU
rnacentral:rRNA from 1 species